GUGUGCUAACAGGAUGAUUUUCAUAUUCACAUCAGGAUCAGAAGCUAAUUAGAAGAUCAGGAUCAGCUUUAGCAGCAGGAUAUAAGGAAGUGCAUGAGGGCAGUUAUAUUUGUACAACCUCAGAGACCAGCAGCAGCCUGCAGGCCUCAGGACCACUGCAGAAUAUGGACUAUUCUCCCAGUAUGGAUACUGCAUAUAUUGUCCUCCUCCUUAGGCAGAAAGAGAAUGUAUUUGAGACUGAAAAUCCUCCCCAAAUGCCAUCUGACUACAUCAUGUAUUUGGCAGGAAGUUCCAGAGAAGCUAGAUUUAUUUUGAGCUCAGCACUGUGCCAAUGGAGCCAUGCAGCUUUUGACUUGCAGAAGCUGCCCAGCCAGUUCGGAGCAUGGACAACAGCAUCUGUCUGCUUACAGACAACCAAGGUUCCACUCUCUGGUUCAAAGGGAAUUACUUUUCUAAUAAGAACUUCCUCAUCAAGUUUAGCAAAAGGCAUGGUCAUUAUUUGAUUUCUUCCCAUACAUUCCCCUACCAAAUUUUCAUAUUCUCCCCAGAACGGGUCUGUGAGCAUAGACACACGAAGCUCACUUCACCUGGCACAGGCACACGCCGUCCUAAUGAGGGGACAGGGCUUUGCUGAGCUGGUCUGGUCACACGGGGGAGGCACCCUGAACACAAGGACUUACACUGCUGUGCAGAGCACUGGAACACGUUUCUGAGCAAGAAGUCCCAGACAGCAUUUAGGGAACAACACAUAGAGAUGGACUCCGUUUGAAACUGUGACAAAGUGCCAGGAAACUUGUCAUAAGAACAUUUUUAGGGCAACAGAAUGACUGAGAGCUCCAAAAUUAUCAAAAAAAGGAAGAAAGUGUUCAAAACAAAGAAACAGUUCCUUUUUUCAACUCUACUCUUCCAUCAAGACUUAAACAUGAGCCAGGGAAUGCAAGAAUGAGGGAACCACUUGCAAUGCUUGAUGUUACAGAUUCAGCUUCUUCCAUCACUUGUAUAUUCUGCUAAGUCAUAUGCACUGAAUAAUAAUUAGACAUUCAUCCUCUGAAAUAGAACUGGAAAACCACUUCUGGCAAAACUCAAGCCUGGAUGCACUCCAAAGCAUAUGGAGAGUAGUGAAUCAACAUGCAACAUAACUUGACAGAUUUUUGAUUUUAAAAUAAUGUAUUUUGCCUGGAAGGCCUUAAAUUUUGAGAAGAGUAGAGAAGAACAUUAUCAGAUAUCACCAUAUGAUGAUAAGAAAGAGACUAUUAAGGCAAAGGAGGCAAACAAUUUGGAGACUCCUAAUUUGAAAGGUAGUGUAUAGAUUAUGAAUUAUUUUUUAUUUGUAUUGAAGACUUUAUGCCAUGGGAAUCCAAAUAUUGUACAGGUAUCUACUUCAGUAAAUAGAUCUAGAGUAAUCUUUGGUUUAAAACCCAAGUGAUAUUGACCCAGAAUUGCAGAUGUAUACCAUGAAACAAAUACUAAAG